rnacentral:rRNA from 1 species
AGAGUUUGAUCCUGGCUCAGAUUGAACGCUGGCGGCAUGCCUUACACAUGCAAGUCGAACGGUAACAGGUCUUCGGAUGCUGACGAGUGGCGAACGGGUGAGUAAUACAUCGGAACGUGCCCGAUCGUGGGGGAUAACGGAGCGAAAGCUUUGCUAAUACCGCAUACGAUCUACGGAUGAAAGCAGGGGACCGCAAGGCCUUGCGCGGACGGAGCGGCCGAUGGCAGAUUAGGUAGUUGGUGGGAUAAAAGCUUACCAAGCCGACGAUCUGUAGCUGGUCUGAGAGGACGACCAGCCACACUGGGACUGAGACACGGCCCAGACUCCUACGGGAGGCAGCAGUGGGGAAUUUUGGACAAUGGGGGCAACCCUGAUCCAGCAAUGCCGCGUGAGUGAAGAAGGCCUUCGGGUUGUAAAGCUCUUUUGUCAGGGAAGAAACGGUGGGGGCUAAUAUCCUCUGCUAAUGACGGUACCUGAAGAAUAAGCACCGGCUAACUACGUGCCAGCAGCCGCGGUAAUACGUAGGGUGCAAGCGUUAAUCGGAAUUACUGGGCGUAAAGCGUGCGCAGGCGGUUAUAUAAGACAGAUGUGAAAUCCCCGGGCUCAACCUGGGAACUGCAUUUGUGACUGUAUAGCUAGAGUACGGCAGAGGGGGAUGGAAUUCCGCGUGUAGCAGUGAAAUGCGUAGAUAUGCGGAGGAACACCGAUGGCGAAGGCAAUCCCCUGGGCCUGUACUGACGCUCAUGCACG